rnacentral:rRNA from 1 species
GACGAACGCUGGCGGCGCGCUUAACACAUGCAAGUCGAACGGAAAGGCCUGCUUUCCCUUGUGGAUUGCGGGUACACGAGUGGCUAACGGGUGAGUAGCACGUGAGUGAUAUGCCCCCAACUAGGGUAUAAGCCUGGGAAACUGGGUCUAAUUCCCGAUAGGACUGCAGGGUGGUGCCUGUGGUGGCAGACGAUUUUCUAGUGGUUGGGGAUGAGCUCGCGGCCUAUGAGCUUGUUGGUGGGGUAGUGGCCUACCAAGGCGGCGACGGGUAGCCAGCCUGAGAGGGUGGACGGGCACAUUGGGAAUGAGAUACGGCCCAGAGACCGACGCGAGGCAGCAGUUGGGAAGAGUGGACGAUGGGCGGAAGCCUGAAGCAGCGACGCCGCGUUGGGGAUGACGGCCUGCGGGUGGUAAGCUCCUUUCGGCCGCGAGGAAGCCACCUGGUUGGAAGGGUGGUGACGGUAGUGGUAGAAGAAGCACCGGCUAACUACGUG